rnacentral:lncRNA from 1 species
CCUGUAGGACUCCCCUGAGCAGAAAAUUCUGGUUUCCUUCUUCUUCUCCAAACGUCACUUGAAUGUUAUCUCUCUCGUCUUUUACAGUUCCUCUUCUCCUCCUCCUCUUUCUUCUUUCUUUUGACUUUCCAAAAUUACUCAAAAACCUACUCUCAAAAGACCUCUCCAGUAAAAUCCUCUUUUUUUCUCAUCUUUCUUCUAUGCUCC